GUGGGGACACAGCUCAGCGGGUAGAGGGCCUGCCUCCCAGGCACAAGGCCCUGGGUUCAAUCCCCAGCACCGCA
rnacentral:tRNA from 1 species